UUUCCAUUAUGCUGCCCACCGAAGGAUGC
rnacentral:piRNA from 1 species